rnacentral:rRNA from 15 species
GCGGUUGACAGCCACAGAAACCAGGCCCCUGCAACUGUUUAUUAAAAACAUAGCACUCUGCAAACACGAAAGUGGACGUAUAGGGUGUGAUGCCUGCCCGGUGCUGGAAGGUUAAUUGAUGGGGUCAGCCGCAAGGCGAAGCUCUUGAUCGAAGCCCCAGUAAACGGCGGCCGUAACAAUAACGGUCCUAAGGUAGCGAAAUUCCUUGUCGGGUAAGUUCCGACCUGCACGAAUGGCGUAACGACUUCCCCGCUGUCUCAACCGCGAACUCGGCGAAAUUGCACUACGAGUAAAGAUGCUCGUUACGCGCAGCAGGACGGAAAGACCCCGGGACCUUCACUAUAGCUUGGUAUUGGUGUUCGGGACGGCUUGUGUAGGAUAGGUGGGAGACUGUGAAGCGGUCACGCUAGUGAUGGUGGAGUCAACGUUGAAAUACCACUCUGGUCGUUCUGGAUGUCUAACUUCGGUCCGUGAUCCGGAUCAGGGACAGUGCCUGGUGGGUAGUUUAACUGGGGCGGUUGCCUCCUAAAGAGUAACGGAGGCGCCCAAAGGUUCCCUCAGCCUGGUUGGCAAUCAGGUGUUGAGUGUAAGUGCACAAGGGAGCUUGACUGUGAGACAGACAUGUCGAGCAGGGACGAAAGUCGGGACUAGUGAUCCGGCAGUGGCUUGUGGAAGCGCUGUCGCUCAACGGAUAAAAGGUACCCCGGGGAUAACAGGCUGAUCUUGCCCAAGAGUCCAUAUCGACGGCAUGGUUUGGCACCUCGAUGUCGGCUCGUCGCAUCCUGGGGCUGGAGUAGGUCCCAAGGGUUGGGCUGUUCGCCCAUUAAAGCGGUACGCGAGCUGGGUUUAGAACGUCGUGAGACAGUUCGGUCCCUAUCCGCUGCGCGCGCAGGAAGUUUGAGAGGAUCUGACCCUAGUACGAGAGGACCGGGUUGGACGAACCUCUGGUGUGUCAGUUGUUCCGCCAGGAGCACCGCUGAUUAGCUACGUUCGGGAUGGAUAACCGCUGAAAGCAUCUAAGCGGGAAGCCGGCCUCAAGAUGAGACUUCCAUGCCUUCGGGCGAGAGGCUCCCAGCCAGACUACUGGGUUGAUAGGCCAGAUGUGGAAGCGUGGCAACACGUGCAGCUGACUGGUACUAAUAAGCCGAUGACUUG